GGUCCUACGGGGGGCAGCAGUGGGGAAUAUUGCACAAUGGGGGAAACCCUGAUGCAGCGACGCCGCGUGAGCGAAGAAGUAUUUCGGUAUGUAAGGCUCUAUCAGCAGGGAAGAAAGUGACGGUACCUGACUAAGAAGCCCCGGCUAACUACGUGCCAGCAGCCGCGGUAAUACGUAGGGGGCAAGCGUUAUCCGGAAUCACUGGGUGUAAAGGGAGCGUAGACGGCUGUGCAAGCCUGAAGUGAAAGGCGGGGGCCCAACCCCCGGACUGCUUUGGGAACUGUACGGCUGGAGUGCGG
rnacentral:rRNA from 1 species